rnacentral:rRNA from 1 species
GACGGAGGGGGCUAGCGUUGUUCGGAAUGACUGGGUGUAAAGGGCGCGUAGGCGGUGUUUUAAGUGAGGCGUGAAAGCCCUGGGCUCAACCCAGGCGGUGCGUUUCAUACUGGAAUACUAGAGUGCGAGAGAGGAAAGUGGAAUUCCUAGUGUAGAGGUGAAAUGCGUAGAUAUUAGGAAGAACACCAGAGGCGAAGGCGACUUUCUGGCUCGCAACUGACGCUGAGGCGCGAAAGCGUGGGGAGCAAACAGG